GUGGGGAAUAUUGGACAAUGGGCGCAAGCCUGACGCAGCCAUGCCGCGUGAAUGAUGAAGGUCUUAGGAUUGUAAAAUUCUUUCACCGGGGACGAUAAUGACGGUACCCGGAGAAGAAGCCCCGGCUAACUACGUGCCAGCAGCCGCGGUAAUACGUAGGGGGCAAGCGUUAUCCGGAUUUACUGGGUGUAAAGGGAGCGUAGACGGUGAAGCAAGUCUGAUGUGAAAACCCGGGGCUCAACUCCGGGAUUGCAUUGGAAACUGUUUUACUUGAGUGCUGGAGGGGCAAGCGGAAUUCCUGGUGUAGCGGUGAAAUGCGUAGAUAUCAGGAAGAACACCGGUGGCGAAGGCGGCUUGCUGGACAGUAACUGACGUUGAGGCUCGAAAGCGUGGGGAGCAAACAGGAUUAGAUACCCCAGUAGUCC
rnacentral:rRNA from 1 species